UACGGAGGGUGCAAACGUUGCUCGGAAUCAUUGGGCGUAAAGCGCACGUAGGCGGACCGUUAAGUCUGAUGUGAAAGUCCUCGGCUUAACCGAGGAAGUGCAUUCGAAACUGACGGUCUUGAGUAUGGAAGAGGGUCGCGGAAUUCCCGGUGUAGAGGUGAAAUUCGUAGAUAUCGGGAGGAACACCAGUGGCGAAGGCGGCGACCUGGGCCAAUACUGACGCUGAGGUGCGAAAGCGUGGGGAGCAAACAGG
rnacentral:rRNA from 1 species